GCGGUUAUAGCCCAGUGGUAGAGCGCAUGCCUAGCAUGCGUGAGGUCCUGGGUUCAAUUCUCAGUACUUCCA
rnacentral:tRNA from 1 species